rnacentral:rRNA from 1 species
AUUGAACGCUGGCGGCAUGCUUUACGCAUGCAAGUCGAACGGUAACAGGCCUUCGGGUGCUGACGAGUGGCGAACGGGUGAGUAAUGCAUCGGAACGUGCCCAGAGGUGGGGGAUAACGCAGCGAAAGCUGUGCUAAUACCGCAUGUGAUCUGAGUAUGAAAGCGGGGGACCAGGCAGCAAUGUUUGGCCUCGCGCCUUUGGAGCGGCCGAUGUCAGAUUAGGUAGUUGGUGGGGUAAAGGCCUACCAAGCCGACGAUCUGUAGCUGGUCUGAGAGGACGACCAGCCACACUGGGACUGAGACACGGCCCAGACUCCUACGGGAGGCAGCAGUGGGGAAUGUUGGACAAUGGGCGAAAGCCUGAUCCAGCAAUGCCGCGUGCGGGAAGAAGGCCUUCGGGUUGUAAACCGCUUUUGUACGGAACGAAAAGGCUCUGGCUAAUACCUGGGGCUGAUGACGGUACCGUAAGAAUAAGCACCGGCUAACUACGUG